UUGUGUUACAGCUGCUUUAGAAUUUGUCUAGCAGACUUUCCUGUUUUUAACAGAAAGCCCCC
ensembl:snRNA RNU7-74P RNA, U7 small nuclear 74 pseudogene